AGUGAACGCUGGCGGCAGGCCUAACACAUGCAAGUCGAGCGGCAGCGCGGGGGCAACCCUGGCGGCGAGCGGCGGACGGGUGAGGAAUUCGUCGGAAUCUGCCUUUUUGUGGGGGAUAACGUAGGGAAACUUACGCUAAUACCGCAUACGUCCUACGGGAGAAAGUGGGGGACCGCAAGGCCUCACGCAGAAAGAUGAGCCGACGACCGAUUAGCUAGUUGGUGGGGUAAAGGCCCACCAAGGCGACGAUCGGUAGCUGGUCUGAGAGGAUGAUCAGCCACACUGGAACUGAGACACGGCCCAGACUCCUACGGGAGGCAGCAGUGGGGAAUAUUGGACAAUGGGCGCAAGCCUGAUCCAGCCAUGCCGCGUGUGUGAAGAAGGCCUUCGGGUUGUAAAGCACUUUUGUCCGGAAAGAAAUCCCUGGAGCUAAUACCUGCGGGGGAUGACGGUACCGGAAGAAUAAGCACCGGCUAACUUCGUG
rnacentral:rRNA from 1 species